UUCCCGGUUGGGGCGAAGAGACAGAAGACAGGGCUUGCAACCUCCGCCGCCUCCUCGCCAGCAUUAUUCUUCUUUCUUGCCUCUCCCGUUGCGCCCAUGCCUGUUCUGUCAGUUUCGUUUUAGGAAUUGAAUUGCAGGGGCUGAAGAAAAUGGGGCAACCCGUGCCUCAGACUCUCCUGCUUUUGGUGGCGGGUCUUUUGGGGGAGUCUUUGGGAGGCUUUCCCAACACCAUCAGCAUAGGUGGACUUUUCAUGAGAAAUACUGUUCAGGAGCAUAGUGCAUUUCGAUUUGCUGUGCAGUUAUACAACACAAACCAAAAUAUCACAGAAAAGCCCUUCCAUUUGAACUAUCAUGUAGACCAUUUGGACUCCUCCAACAGUUUUUCAGUGACUAACGCUUUUUGUUCACAGUUUUCUAGAGGAGUUUAUGCCAUCUUUGGAUUCUAUGACCAGAUGUCCAUGAACACACUGACAUCAUUUUGUGGAGCUCUGCACACGUCCUUUGUCACACCCAGCUUCCCAACAGAUGCAGAUGUGCAGUUUGUCAUUCAGAUGCGGCCAGCGUUAAAAGGAGCCAUCCUGAGCCUUCUGACUCAUUACAAAUGGGAAAAGUUUGUAUACCUCUACGAUACAGAAAGAGGAUUUUCCAUUCUUCAGGCAAUUAUGGAAGCAGCAGUACAAAACAACUGGCAAGUGACAGCCAGGUCUGUGGGAAAUAUAAAGGACGUUCAGGAAUUGAGGAGAAUCAUAGAGGAAAUGGACAGACGACAGGAAAAAAGAUACUUAAUCGACUGUGAAGUAGAGAGAAUAAACACAAUUUUGGAACAGGUUGUAAUCCUUGGUAAACAUUCCAGAGGUUAUCACUACAUGCUAGCUAACCUGGGUUUUACAGAUAUUAUGCUGGAGAGAGUAAUGCAUGGAGGUGCCAAUGUUACUGGAUUCCAGAUUGUUAACAAUGAAAACCCAAUGGUUCAACAGUUUCUACAACGCUGGAUUAGACUGGAUGAAAGGGAGUUCCCUGAAGCCAAGAACUCUCCAUUAAAGUAUACGUCUGCACUGACCCAUGAUGCAAUCCUAGUCAUAGCAGAGGCUUUCCGCUACCUCCGAAGACAGCGUGUUGAUGUUUCCAGGAGAGGUAGUGCAGGAGACUGCCUAGCAAACCCUGCAGUGCCCUGGAGCCAAGGAAUCGAUAUAGAAAGAGCAUUGAAAAUGGUACAAGUCCAAGGAAUGACUGGAAAUAUUCAGUUUGACACCUACGGACGCAGAACAAAUUACACAAUUGAUGUGUAUGAAACAAAAGCCACUGGAUCACGGAAGGCUGGUUACUGGAAUGAAUAUGAAAGAUUUGUGCCAGCACUAGACCAGCAAGUGUCUAAUGACACUUCAUCUGUGGAGAAUAGAACAAUAGUAGUCACUACCAUCCUGGAAUCGCCAUAUGUAAUGUAUAAGAAAAACCAUGAACAACUAGAAGGGAAUGAGAGAUAUGAAGGAUAUUGUGUAGACUUAGCUUAUGAAAUAGCAAAACAUGUUGGAAUAAAAUACAAACUGUCAAUUGUUGGAGAUGGGAAAUACGGAGCUAGGGACCCUGAGUCUAAGAUAUGGAAUGGCAUGGUGGGUGAACUAGUCUAUGGGAGAGCAGACAUAGCUGUUGCUCCACUCACUAUAACGUUGGUACGAGAAGAAGUCAUAGACUUUUCAAAACCUUUUAUGAGUCUGGGCAUCUCCAUCAUGAUCAAGAAGCCUCAGAAAUCUAAACCUGGCGUAUUUUCCUUUCUGGAUCCUUUGGCUUAUGAAAUUUGGAUGUGUAUAGUCUUUGCUUACAUUGGAGUCAGCGUAGUUCUUUUCCUAGUCAGCAGAUUCAGUCCUUAUGAAUGGCAUUUGGAAGACAACAAUGAAGAACCGCGUGACCCCCAGAACCCUCCUGACCCUCCAAAUGAGUUUGGAAUAUUUAACAGCCUUUGGUUUUCCCUGGGUGCCUUUAUGCAGCAAGGAUGCGAUAUUUCUCCAAGGUCUCUCUCAGGACGAAUUGUCGGAGGAGUCUGGUGGUUCUUCACACUCAUCAUCAUCUCUUCUUACACUGCCAAUCUUGCUGCCUUCCUUACUGUGGAAAGGAUGGUCUCUCCCAUAGAAAGUGCAGAGGAUCUGGCGAAGCAAACUGAAAUAGCCUAUGGAACCUUGGAUUCAGGCUCAACCAAAGAAUUUUUUAGAAGAUCAAAAAUAGCAGUCUAUGAGAAAAUGUGGUCGUAUAUGAAGUCAGCAGAGCCAUCUGUAUUUACCAAAACAACAGCUGACGGGGUCGCUAGAGUGCGGAAGUCAAAGGGAAAGUUUGCCUUCCUCCUUGAAUCGACCAUGAACGAGUAUAUCGAGCAGCGAAAGCCAUGUGACACAAUGAAAGUUGGUGGGAACCUGGAUUCCAAAGGCUAUGGUGUAGCAACUCCAAAAGGCUCAGCAUUAAGAAAUGCUGUUAACCUGGCAGUAUUAAAACUGAAUGAGCAAGGCCUCUUGGACAAAUUGAAAAACAAAUGGUGGUACGACAAAGGAGAGUGCGGCAGCGGGGGAGGUGACUCCAAGGAGGAAAUAUUUGGGGAAAGAUAGAAGCUAUCGCAACAAGGAACAGAUGCAAGGUGUAUCAUGGAAUGAGAUAUGCAUGUGUCAUUGACUUAUGGUGCAAUAUGAUGGAGCUUACUCACUCAUGACAGCUUUUUCUACUAGCUAAGCUAAUGGAACAGCUCUAUUAGCUUACCGGGUAGAGGCCCAAGUUUUGGGGAAUAGGUGUCCUGAGUUUGUAAUCAGAUACUUCCUGCUGGUAUUUUAGUGUGUGUGUGUGUGUGUGUGUACUGUAUAUAGGCUUGAAUCAUUACAGAUUGAUGGUGCCGUGGUCUUAGACUGAGCUCCUCUGACUCCCUGAUAUUCUGUUUGUGCUCAAGAUAUGGGCAACCCUAAGGUUUCAGCAAUAGAAGUUCAUAUUGCAGGCAGAUGCCUACAUUCAUUCAGGUAGGUUCUCGGUGAUGUGUCUCUGUCCCUGUCUACUGCUGUAAUAAAGUUUUGGGGAAGCUAUGGCUUUAUAUAGCCAACCAAGCUGUCCCAGAAUGACCUGAGCAAGCCUUCAAAGGAGGCAGCAGCAAACUGAAGCUUGUAGAUGAUCCAGAAAGCAGGAGCCUCCAGUGAAGCCUUUACAAGAGAAAAAAAUCUGAAGGUGGCAAGGAAUAUGUAUAUAAAAGCAAGAGAGAGAGAGAGAGAGAAUGAGGAUGCUGGCUAACGUACAAGGUAAGUGAAGGCCCUUGCACAUGUCCAUUCACAGCUACAUCAAUGUAGGUUAGAAAAGGUCAAGGAACAGUGGUGUGGUAAUCCCCAUAGACAGCAAUCAUGUUGCUGUGUAAGGUGUCCUAGGAAAGGAUUGUAGUAUCAAGCUUCCAGCCUUCCUUGUACUGCUUCUCCACAGCAUUCCUGGGGUGAGAUUUGGGAAAUUUCACUAAACCCCAAAUCUCUCUUUCGGUUGUUCUUGCCACAUCGGUCUCUCAGUCUCAGGCAUUGUUACAAAUGAACUAAAAUGACUUGUAACAGCUUUCAUUUCCUAAUCCAAUAUGCAUGCAUUAUUGCAUUAGCACUUUGCACUUAUAUUAAAUUAUGAUCCUGCUAGUGUAGUUUAAUGUGUUUGAGCUACAUUAAUGAAACAUAAAUAAACUUUCAUAGAGCCUGAUGCCGGCAUCAGACACAGACUGCAAACUUCCAUAAGAGAAGAGAGAGAGAAGCCUGCAGCAUCAGAUGGUCACACAUCUGGCUCUAUGGAAAACAAUCUUAGAUAGACUGAUACGUUAUGAUGGGCUGUAUCUUGCAAUAGAAUGUGAAAGUUCUGCUCUAGGAAAGGCUAGAAGAGUUGGAUAAUACAUUCACCCUUAAAGCAAGAAGAGAUGGAUCUAGAAAACCGCCAGUUUGAGCAUUCAUUUAAGGAUAAUCAUAAAGGAACAGAUUCUGUUACGUAAGAAAACUGUGAGAAGGGAGUAAUAGGAAGCUGUAAUUUAGCUAAUCUGGAAAGAAGCAAGUGCCUGCUGAAAAAAGGAGUCCCUCCAAAAGGUUUUAAGUUUCACAGAGAUGAUGGACAUAAGAUUUUUAGCAUCCACACCAACCUGGUGAAGUGCAGUAGCUGGGCAUGCAGAUUACAGCUUUGGGGGUGCUUGUGUCCUAACUCCUGUAAACCUUGCAGUAUUGAAACUCAGUGAACAAGGCAUCUUAGACAAGCU